AUUGAACGCUGGCGGCAGGCCUAACACAUGCAAGUCGAGCGAGUGGCGGACGGGUGAGUAAUGUAUGGGCAACUGCCUGAUGGAGGGGGAUAACUACUGGAAACGGUGGCUAAUACCGCAUACUAUCGGAUGAACCCAUAUGGGAUUAGCUAGUAGGUGGGGUAAAGGCUCACCUAGGCGACGAUCCCUAGCUGGUCUGAGAGGAUGAUCAGCCACACUGGGACUGAGACACGGUCCAGACUCCUACGGGAGGCAGCAGUGGGGAAUAUUGCACAAUGGGCGCAAGCCUGAUGCAGCCAUGCCGCGUGUAUGAAGAAGGCCUUAGGGUUGUAAAGUACUUUCAUCGGGAAAGCGUUACCCGAAGAAGAAGCACCGGCUAACUACGUGCCAGCAGCCGCGGUAAUAC
rnacentral:rRNA from 1 species